rnacentral:rRNA from 1 species
AAAGCGCGCGUAGGUGGUUUGUUAAGUUGGAUGUGAAAUCCCCGGGCUCAACCUGGGAACUGCAUUCAAAACUGACUGACUAGAGUAUGGUAGAGGGUGGUGGAAUUUCCUGUGUAGCGGUGAAAUGCGUAGAUAUAGGAAGGAACACCAGUGGCGAAGGCGACCACCUGGACUGAUACUGACACUGAGGUGCGAAAGCGUGGGGAGCAAACAGGAUUAGAUACCCCAGU